CCUACGGGCGGCAGCAGUGGGGGAUAUUGCACAAUGGGGGGAACCCUGAUGCAGCGACGCCGCGUGGGUGAAGAAGCGCCUCGGCGCGUAAAGCCCUGUCAGCAGGGAAGAAAAUGACGGUACCUGAAGAACAAGCCCCGGCUAACUACGUGACAGCAGCCGCGGUAAUACGGAGGGGGCAAGCGUUAUCCGGAUUUACUGGGGGGAAAGGGGGCGCAGACGGCGAUGCAAGCCAGGAGUGAAAGCCCGGGGCCCAACCCCGGGACUGCUCUUGGAACUGCGUGGCGGGAGUGCAGGAGGGGCAGGCGGAAUUCCUGGUGUAGCGGUGAAAUGCGUAGAUAUCAGGAGGAACACCGGUGGCGAAGGCGGCCUGCUGGACUGCAACUGACGUUGAGGCCCGAAAGCGUGGGGAGCAAACAGGAUUAGAUACCCCUGUAGUC
rnacentral:rRNA from 1 species